CCUACGGGAGGCAGCAGUGGGGAAUUUUGGACAAUGGGCGAAAGCCUGAUCCAGCCAUGCCGCGUGCAGGAUGAAGGCCUUCGGGUUGUAAACUGCUUUUGUACGGAACGAAACGGUCUCUUCUAAUAAAGGGGGCUAAUGACGGUACCGUAAGAAUAAGCACCGGCUAACUACGUGCCAGCAGCCGCGGUAAUACGUAGGGUGCAAGCGUUAAUCGGAAUUACUGGGCGUAAAGCGUGCGCAGGCGGUUAUAUAAGACAGUUGUGAAAUCCCCGGGCUCAACCUGGGAACUGCAUCUGUGACUGUAUAGCUAGAGUACGGUAGAGGGGGAUGGAAUUCCGCGUGUAGCAGUGAAAUGCGUAGAUAUGCGGAGGAACACCGAUGGCGAAGGCAAUCCCCUGGACCUGUACUGACGCUCAUGCACGAAAGCGUGGGGAGCAAACAGGAUUAGAUACCCUGGUAGUCCACGCCCUAAACGAUGUCAACUGGUUGUUGGGUCUUCACUGACUCAGUAACGAAGCUAACGCGUGAAGUUGACCGCCGUGGGAGGUACGGCCGCGAGGUAGUAACGUUAAAGUAAGUAGUAGACGNGAGAGAGACGACGACGACGACGACGGAGGAGGAGG
rnacentral:rRNA from 1 species